rnacentral:lncRNA from 1 species
CCUGCGACGGAUACCGCGUGAUUCUUCCAUCCUCUGGCAAGUCGCAACAACAGACACCGCUCCACUCCCCGUGAUAGACUCCACGUGGCGUGUCCCGGUGAUAGCCACUAUUCCACCCCACUACUCUUCGCAACAAACUCCCCCUGACUCUGGGCAGCCCACAGCCAGAUGGUUACAGACACUGCUAUCAGUCUGUUGCUCCCUCCUCCUAUAAAAGGGGGACCCCAGAUACGUUAUUCUCUAAGCUCUCGUUUUUACCUAGAAACUCCGCUAAAAUUUCCAUUCGAGCACUCCAUUCUUGUUGAGGCAGAGAACUGACUUG